GGUGCACUACUUCUGCACUGUGUUCAACCAUUCAGUCAAUAAUAAGUGCUGCUGUGAAGAGAACAAUUCUCAGACUGAAUGUUGAACAUCAGCUAGUUUCUCCUGUUGAUUUAAACCUUGUUGUAGAGAUGGAACAUUGGCUGUGGAUUAUUAUUGCUGCUCUUUUCUUUGAGUGUAAAGGAGAAGACAGCGUGAACCAGCCAACAGGAGAUGUCAUUGCUACUGAAGGAGAGACAGCUACUCUUGGCUGUACAUUUGAGACUGCUUCAUAUCCUUAUUUGUUCUGGUACAAACAAGAAGUAAAUGGCUUUCUAAAGUAUAUAGUACACGUCUCCUCUGGAGCAAAAGAUGCUGAAGACUUUCAGAAAGAAAGAAUUUAUGCUACAGUCAACAAGACAUCAGUUCCUCUGAAGAUCCAGAAGCUUCAGCUGUCUGACUCUGCUGUGUACUACUGUGUUCUGCAGCCCACAGUGACAGGAAAC